rnacentral:rRNA from 1 species
CCUACGGGAGGCAGCAGUGGGGGAUAUUGCACAAUGGGGGAAACCCUGAUGCAGCGACGCCGCGUGAGUGAAGAAGGAUUUCGGAAUGUAAAGCUCUAUCAGCAGGGAAGAAAAUGACAGUACAUGACCAAGAAGCCCCGGCGAACGACGUGACAGCAGCCGCGGUAACACGAAGGGGGCAAGCGUUAUCCGGAUUUACUGGGCGUAAAGGGAGCGUAGACGGUUCUGUAAGUCUGGAGUGAAAGCCCGGGGCCCAACCCCGGGACUGCGUUUGAAACUGUGUAACUGGAGUACAGGAGGGGCAGGCGGAAUUCCUGGUGUAGCGGUGAAAUGCUUAGAUAUCAGGCGGAACACCGGCGGCGAAGGCGGCCUGCUGGACUGCACCUGACGUUGAGGCUCGAAAGCGUGGGGAGCAAACAGGAUUAGAUACCCCUGUAGUC